CGGACAUGAUGAAAGUGGCGAAAGGGUGAGUAACACGUGAGCAACCUGCCCCCGAGUUCGGGAUAGCCCCGGGAAACCGGGAUUAAUACCGGAUGUUGUCUUUCAGUCGCAUGACUGUAUGACCAAAGAUUUAUCGCUUGGGGAUGGGCUCGCGUCCGUUUAGCUUGUUGGUGAGGUAACGGCUCACCAAGGCUGUGACCGGUAGCUGGUCUGAGAGGAUGGUCAGCCACACUGGGACUGAGACACUGCCCAGACUCCUACGGGAGGCUGCAGUCGAGAAUCAUCCGCAAUGGGCGCAAGCCUGACGGUGCGAUGCCGCGUGAGGGAUGACGGCCUUCGGGUUGUAAACCUCUGUCAGGAGGGACGAAGAAUGUGACGGUACCUCCAGAGGAAGCCACGGCUAACUACGUGCCAGCAGCCGCGGUAAUACGUAGGUGGCGAGCGUUACUCGGAUUCACUGGGCGUAAAGGGUCCGCAGGGGGUUUGCCAAGUCUGAUGUGAAAUCCCGAAGCUCAACUUUGGAAUUGCAUUGGAUACUGGCGAACUAGAGUGCACGAGGGGUGAGCGGAAUUCCCGGUGUAGCGGUGGAAUGCGUAGAUAUCGGGAGGAACACCGAUGGCGAAAGCGGCUCACUGGCGUGCUACUGACCCUCAGGGACGAAAGCGUGGGUAGCGAACAGGAUUAGAUACCCUGGUAGUCCACGCUGUAAACGUUGUGCACUAGAUGUGGGAGGUCCUUUGGUCCCUUCCGUGACCAAGCUAACGCGUUAAGUGCACCGCCUGGGGACUACGGCCGCAAGGCUAAAACUCAAAGGAAUUGACGGGGGCCCGCACAAGCGGUGGAGCAUGUGGCUCAAUUCGAGGCAACGCGAAGAACCUUACCUGGGCUUGACAUGUACCGGACCGCCUGUGAAAGCAGGUUUCCAUUCGGGGCUGGUACACAGGUGCUGCAUGGCUGUCGUCAGCUCGUGCCGUGAGGUGUUCGGUUAAGUCCGGCAACGAGCGCAACCCGUGUCGUCAGUUGCCAUCAGGUAAUGCUGGGCACUCUGGCGAGACUGCCCGUGUCAAGCGGGAGGAAGGCGCGGAUGACGUCAAGUCCGUAUGGCCCUUACGCCCAGGGCUGCACACGUGCUACAAUGGGCGGUACAAUGGGCGCGCAAUACCGCGAGGUGGAGCAAAUCCCCAAAACCGUCCCCAGUUCGGAUUGGAGUCUGCAAUUCGACUCCAUGAAGCCGGAAUCGCUAGUAAAGGGGUAUCAGCAACGGCCCCUUGAAUACGUUCCCGGGCCUUGUACACACCGCCCGUCACAUCAUGGAAGCUGGCUGCACCCGAAGUCGAUCGCCCAAUCCCGCUUGCGGGAAGGGAGUCGCCGAAGGUGUGUCCAGUAACUGGGAUGAAGUCGAAACAAGGUA
rnacentral:rRNA from 1 species